ensembl:lncRNA
UGCAGAUGAAUCCACUCCAGCUUUUCCGUCUCGCAGCUGCUCGCUGUGAAAUUCAAUUAAUGACUCCGCUUCCCAGUUCUCUCUCCAGGGCACAUCUUCCGGCCCGCUCGCCCUCUGCUAGAAAUAGGAAAAUGCUAUAAUAACACAACACAAGAAAAAAAAAACACAGAGGCAACUUUGAUCACGCAUGCUCCCUUGGCGUCCAGCUCUUUUUUCCCCCACCACAUCAUUUCUCCUAAGUUGGAAAGUCAAGGAAAAGCCCGAGCGAAGUGUUGGCCACAGUUAAACCAAUCAUUCGGGGAAAGCCAUCUCAUAUUUAAAAUGCCUGUGGUAUCAAGGUGAAGAUUGAUUGGCUACAGCGCUCACAAACAAGUGACGAGGAUUCGACUGGACAUUUGUGAAAUUCUGGGACAGAAAGCGUUUCUCGUGUGUCCAUGUGGUGGGCAAGGGGAGACGUGCCCUCCAGCCCUUUGAAACACGAGGCUUCAGAGAUAACAUUUCACACCCAAUAGCGGUGCCCAACCAUGCAGCCCACAUGAAAUAAGCCCUCGGCCUUUAGUUUUGGCUUUCAUUUUUUUUUCAGGCUGUUGACAGCCGUUUCAGAAUGUGCUGGAAAAUGCAUCUGAAACCGCACACUGCUGUAAACAUAUCUGAAACAACCCACUCCUAUGACAGUCCCUGUCUUUGGGUACACUGCAGAUACAUGCAAAAGAGAUCAGAC